rnacentral:rRNA from 1 species
UAUUGGCCAAUGGGGGAAAGCCUGAUCCCCCAAUGCCGGGUGAGUGAUUAAGGCCUUAGGGUUGUAAAGUUUUUUUACCCUGGAUGAUAAUGACAGUACCGGGAGAAUAAGCUCCGGCUAACUCCGUGCCAGCAGCCGCGGUAAUACGUAGGGUGCGAGCGUUAAUCGGAAUUACUGGGCGUAAAGCGUGCGCAGGCGGUUAUGUAAGACAGGCGUGAAAUCCCCGGGCUUAACCUGGGAACGGCGCCUGUGACUGUAUAGCUAGAGUGUGUCAGAGGGGGGUAGAAUUCCACGGUGCUUCCCGGCUCGUAUGUUGUGGGAGGAAUACCAAUGGCGAAGGCAGCCCCCUGGGAUAACACUGACGCUCAUGCACGAAA